UACGUAGGGCGCAAGCGUUGUCCGGAAUUAUUGGGCGUAAAGAGCUCGUAGGCGGCUUGUCACGUCGGUUGUGAAAGCCCGGGGCUUAACCCCGGGUCUGCAGUCGAUACGGGCAGGCUAGAGUUCGGUAGGGGAGAUCGGAAUUCCUGGUGUAGCGGUGAAAUGCGUAGAUAUCGGGAGAACACCAGUGGCGAAGGCGGGUACCUGGGCCUAUACUGACACUAAGACGCGAAAGUUAGGGAGCAAACAGG
rnacentral:rRNA from 1 species